rnacentral:lncRNA from 1 species
GUACUGCUGACUGUGAUAAUGAUUUUAUAGAUGUGAGUGUGAUGGAAGAUGGUAAUAGUACUGACUCCAAAAAUAAGUUUGAGAUAGAGACAUGUACAAAGACUUAGGUCUAUCUAAUCAACUUUUUAAGGAUAUGACAGAAGAAAAAAAUACCUCAAUCUGAUUUUGUUAAUUUUAAUAGUGAUAAUGAUGAUGUUAGGAGAAGUGAUAAAAAAUUUGAAGAG